rnacentral:lncRNA from 1 species
GUGAGUUGGUUACCUGCGGCCAAACGUCGCCGCCCUAGGUACAGAAAGAGGGAGCCGACCAUAGAAAAGGGAACUCCAGGGGGGUUACGCCGACUGUGUUGGCGCGUCAACCGUGAAGCUCAUGGUGACUAUCGUUUAUCUGAUUACAAGGCGUGGUGGUGCAAUUGAGACCUUACAGUCGGCGGCUAGGGUUAAUGACUCGAAGGUGAUGAAGGAGACGAUGUAGAUUAAGUUUCAGGCGAUCAAUGGUGUCAAAUGAUGGUCGUUCAGAACAAAUAGACGGUCGGCGGUGACGGUCAAAACAAGGGAAGACGUUCUCGUCACCUAUAGUUUAGGGUUUUGAACGUACCGACGAUUAGGAAGGAGAUAUGUUUGGGUGCAUAUUAAAUUUAUUGGUUUUUGUUCUACUUCUUGAGACAUUCAUAAAAGAGAGAAGAAAAAAGAAGCAGUGACACUUCUCUCUCAUCUUCAUUUCCAAAAUACUGCACACAUAGUAAAGGUGAGAGAGAGGCAAGAUGGCAAUGUUCGUUUCAGUGUGCUUCAGGUCUGGUGAAGCAUGAAGGCGGUGGUCGUUUCGAGGUGCUUCAGGUCCACCGAGAAGAAGAGGUGCAACAGUGGCUACGGUUUUGAGCAGGGGUUCACUUACCGCCACUGGUUCAGCUCGACCAGAUUUCCGAGGAGGACUUGAAUGCUUACAGCGGCAACGAUCCUCAAAGGCCUCUUCUUAUGGCCAUCAAAGGCCAGAUCUAUGAGACUAUGAUGUCUCGCAAAACAGGUUAUCUAUCAUCAAUUUCGAGGGUUUGAUUUAGUAUUACUUUCAGCUCAUCG